rnacentral:lncRNA from 1 species
UGCCAGCUGAUUUGCAAGUGAUUGUCCCAAUUCUGGCACUUCACCAUGAUCCUCAGUUAUGGGGAGAUGAUGUAAAUCUUUUCAAACCUGAGAGAUUCGCAGAAGGGAUUGCCAAUGCCACCAAACACAAUGCUGCUGCAUUUAUGCCCUUUGGGUUGGGACCUCGAUCUUGUGUGGGUAUGAGCUUUGCGGUGACAGAAACAAAGACUGCUCUUUCAAUGAUUCUACAACGCUACACUAUUUCCCUUUCCCCAACCUACUGCCACGCACCAUUUACCCUUGUCUUCCUUCAGCCACAACAUGGAAUUCAGGUAAUGCUUCGUUCUCUGUAGAAUGAAGCCUAGAAUUGUUAAUGGAAUAAUACCUUUUGCAUCAGGUGCUGCAGCCAAUAGUUCACUCGAUGAAAGUGAAAUAUAGUUUUUACUAUUUUACAGUGAUGUUGAUUAAUUUGCACUUGUUUUCAUCCAUUUAGUAGUAAAUGAUGGUAUUAGAACUAAAUGUUUUAGCAAUUGAGUAUGAGGAUCAUGCUCCCCUUGACUACUUAUUGUCUUAUAUUCUGAUAUUUUCAGAUCCUUUUUUCUGUAACAAAAUUCUCCGAAGGCAUUGUUUUUUUUUUUUUAUUCUGCUGUCAAGAGAAAUUGUAAAUAACUUCAGGCUUCCCAUCAAAUCUCAAAUAAAGAACUGGCCUGAAACUGGUGAAAGGGAUUUUACUCUCUUACAGAGCUUAUAUGGACAUUUUAUAGAUUGCCAGAAUUCAGAAACACAACCCUCUCUAUUCUUUCCCAGGGGAAGCAAAUCCUCUCUGGUUUUUUUUUUUUCUUUUCCCUUUUUUUCUGAAAAACAAAAAAGGAUUUUCUUAAAUAGGAAAACUGUAUAAUUGACAGCUGAUUUCCACAGGUACAGAUUUAUCAUAGGCACCAUAAGGCCUGGAUUGUCUUGUAUGAUGUACCCUUGACCUAUUCUACAGGGCAAUGGAGGAUUAAUGGAAUGAAUAAACUAAUUUCAUGAGAAAAUUGACUUGAAUUUCUUGUUUACUUGUAUAAUACCCUUCAUACUUGAUAAAAGAAAAUUCUGGAAUGAAAAAACUAGCAACAUUUACUUUGUUACAAAUUUCAUAAAUGUUUAUUGAACAGUAAAAACUUUGUUAGAAUUUUCAAUAAUAAAGCCUAAAUAAAUUAUCAAACAUAUUCAUUUUAUGUUUUGGCAACAAAGAAACACGAUUAUAAUUUUAGAUUCACGUCUAACAGGUUUAAAGUUUAUUUUUGUAAAAAAUAAAAUUUACUUUUAGCAAGAUUAGCUAAAUGGGUGAACAAGAAUAAUUUUUUUUAUUUUGAUUUUUUUUUUUGACAAAAAUUAUUGACACAUAGUUUUCUUUAUUAUUAUAUUUUCUUUGCCAAAUCAUUGUUUCAAACAUUUUCACUGUUAGCUGAUCAAAUAUACUUAGAGAUAAUCAGUAGCAAAUUCAAUAUUUACUCUACAUAUAACCGGAGUGGACAAAAUCAGCUGCAUUUGUAUAUGUAAUUCAGACAAUCCUUGCUGUAAAUUCUAAACACAAAUUCAUUCAAAAAGAAAAACUACAAACACAAAUGUUUCUGCUUUGUCUUCCAGAUAUCGUCAGAAACGACUUCACAGCUACAAGACAACCGCAGAUUUGGACAAAGAUGAAAGACGUACACAACACUCAACAGUCAUUUCUUUAUGUUUUCUUUCCAUUCGGACCAAUCUAAAUUAAAUUUGUAAUUUAAUUUUAUCGAUUUAUUUAAUUAUUUUAAAAAAAUAAUAUUUUGUAUUUUAUAUUUUAUAUUUUAAUAUUUAUAAUUAUUUUUUAUCUUUAAACUAUAACCUUUUUACGUUUGGCAAUGGAUUUGUAUUAUUUUUUCUAUCUGGACAGAGUUUUGCUUUGCAUGAGAUAAAAUAUAAGGUUGGCGUUAGAUCGGAUUCGAGGUGAAUUUUUUUAAUUUUUAAUUUGAUUUGAUUUGAUUUUAUUCGUUAUUAAAUUUAAAUUUUAUUUUAUUUAAAUUUUAUUUUAUUUUUUUAUAUUUAAAUUUGAUUUCGAUUCGAUAUUAUAUAAAUCAUAUUUGAUAUAAUUUGAUCUGAAAUUAAUAAAAUAUUAUUUUUUAAAAUAUAAAAUAUUUUUUUAAAUAUAAAUAUUUAAAAAUAUCAUUAUAUAAAUAUAUAUAAAUAAAAAAUUAAAUAAUUAAUUAAAAAUAAUUUUUUAUAUAAUAUCAAAUCGGAUCAAAUUUAUCUAAAAUUUAAAUCCGAUCCGAUUUGACCUCCAUUAUUUUUUAAUUUUACCCCAUCUAUUCCUAUCUAAAUUUAAAUUUAAAAAAAAAAUUUUAUUUCAUAAGAUCGAAUCAAAUCAAAACUCGUCGAGUUAGAUUAUCGACCUAAUAAAAUGAGAUUGUAUUUUUUUUUUUUUCCUUUGUUGCAAAUUUUAACGUUUACGAAACCCAUUUUUUGAUUUGAUAUUUAAUUUUUUUUGCUCAAAAAAAAAAUCUUAAUACCUAUAAUUUUUUUAUCAUCCUAUCCAAAAACAAGAUUUUUUUACGUUUUUUAAUUACUACUCUUAUAUGUCAUGUCCAUGUAUUAAUUUGAAUAGGCCGCAUUUAUUGGUACCAUCACUUAUAUACGUAAUUACAAAUUUUAUAUAAAAUUUUAUAGAUAAAACUUAAAAUUUUUUUUAUUAAAAAUAAAUUAACAAAAAAUUUAAAUUAAUAAAAUGAUAAAUUUUAAUAUAAAAAUUAAUAAUAUAUAAAUAUUAUUUAAAAUAUUAUUUAUAAUUUAAAUUUGAUUAAUAUUUAUUUAAUGAUAAAAAGUUUUAUUAAUAUUUUUAUUAAAAACUAUUUAUUUAAUAAAUAUAUCAAAAAAUUUGUUUUUUUUCAUUUUAUAUAUUUAAUUUAUGUAAUUAAAUCUUUUAAGUUAUUAUUUUUAAUUUUAAUUUCAAUUUUAAUUUAUCUAUUUUUAAUAAAAAACUUUCCUAAUGAAUAUUUAUUCAAGUCUUUGCCAUAUCUGUCAUUGCUUCAGGUAAGGCCAAAAGUGGCCGCCAUUAACAACCCUUUCAUCUUCAACAUAUAAUUCAAAACCUGAUAUAUCCAUAAAACUUAAUAAAAAAAUCACAAUUUCUUGUUCGGAUCGGCAAAUGAAUUCCAUGGCAAACCUAUCAGCCUUUCUUACAGGCUCUCUAUGCCUGUGUCUGUUCAUAGCUCUAAUCAAAGUCCUUGACAAAUAUUGGUGGAUACCACUUCGGAUUCAGCAUCUAAUGAGUUUGCAAGGAAUCAAAGGACCUCCUUACAAGUUCAUCCAGGGAAACAGCAAAGAGACUAUAAAAAUGAAACAGGAAGCAUUAAGCAAGCCCAUGGCUACUUUAUCACAUGAUAUAUUGCCCAGAGUCCAUCCACAAAUUCAUUCACGGAUCAACUUAUAUGGUAAGUGUUAAAAUUCCAUUUUUUCACUUGGAUUUUCAUUUUCAUUUUCUCUUUUACUUCUGACCCUGUUUUUGAGUCAAUUUAACCUUCUUUUACUUUUGUGGGAUUAGGGAAAAACUAUCUUUGUUGGCUAGGGACUAGAGCUCAACUGUUCAUCACAGAACCUGAGCUUGUCAAAGAGAUGUUGAGAAGUAGUGAAAGAGAUUUCCCAAAAAGGACAAGUAGAGAAAGGAGGAAGUAUGAAGUCGAUUUCCUUUUUAAGAUGCUAGGAGAUGGGCUUGUGACAUCCGAAGGUCAGAAAUGGGCAAGGCAAAGGAAGUUGGCCAAUCAUGCUUUCCAUGGGGACACCUUAAAAGUAAACUUUUAACCAUAUUCUACAAAAUUAAUUAUUUUUGUUAUAGAUGUGGUGAUUGAGGCUUCAAAUUCUGUAAAUUAUGGUUACUUAUAGAGUGUUGUGGAUGAUGGUUUUGGCAGAGCAUGACUCCAGCAAUGAUUGCUAGUGUUGAGAUGAUGCUGGAAAGGUGGAAACAAUAUGAUGGCAAAGAAAUUGAGGUGUUCGAAGAAUUUAGGUUGUUGACUUCGGAAGUGAUAUCAAGGACAGCUUUUGGUAGCAGUUACUUAGAUGGGAAAAAGAUUUUUGACAUGUUGAUGAGGUUGUCUGUCUUGACAAACAGAAAUAUGUUUAAAGCUAGGUUUCCUGUCAUUAGGUAAGUUUCUUUUUAAUCUAGGUUUACUGAAAAUAUUAGAGUGUAACUAGAAGUCAUAUUCUGCAGCUUUGGCUCAGAUGGUGGAUUUUUUAUUUGUUUUUCCUUUAUAUAUGAGAAAUUUGUUUGUUUUUGCAGUAAGUUCUGGAGAACUUCUGAUGUAAUUGAAUCAGACAAACUUGCAAAAGGAAUACACAAUUCUGUGAUGCAGAUAGUUAAGAAGAGAGAAGAGAAAGUAGCUAGUGGAGAAGCCAAAAGCUUUGGCACUGAUUUUCUUGGAUUGCUUUUAAAUGCUUACCAUGAUGCAGACCAAAAGAACAUUCUGUCUGAACAAGAUUUGGUAGAUGAAUGCAAGACAUUUUACUUUGCUGGACAAGAAACAACUAAUUCUAUACUUGCAUGGACAGUCUUUCUUUUAGCAAUCCAUCCAGAUUGGCAAGAGAAAGCAAGGAGAGAGGUGAUUGAGGUCUUUGGUAACCAAAAUCCACAUUCUGAAGGCAUUGGCAGACUAAAGAUUGUAAGCAAAUCUAGUUCUUUUUUCUGCACACAUUACUGAAUAUUUAGUAGAUUGAAUUUUGAAUUCAGAAUAGAUUGAACAUGUUUAUUCCUCUGCCACAGAUGACUAUGAUCAUUAAUGAAACUCUAAGAUUAUAUCCUCCAGUAAAUAACCUGGCAAGAAGAACUGAACAUGAAGUUCAAUUGGGAAAGCUCAUUCUGCCAGCUAAUUUGCAUGUGGUUGCCUCAAUUCUGGCACUUCACCAUGAUCCUCAGUUAUGGGGAGAUGAUGUAAAUCUUUUCAAACCUGAGAGAUUCGCUGAAGGGAUUGCCAAUGCCACCAAAUACAAUGCUGCUGCAUUUAUGCCCUUUGGGUUGGGUCCUCGAUCUUGUGUGGGUAUGAGCUUUGCAGUGACAGAAACAAAGACUGCUCUUUCAAUGAUUCUACAACGCUACACUAUUACCCUUUCCCCAACCUACUGCCACGCACCAUUUACCCUUCUCCUGCUUCAGCCACAACAUGGAAUUCAGGUAAUGCUUCGUUCUCUGGAGAAUGAAGCCUAGAAUUGUUAAUGGAAUAAUACCUUGUACAUCUGGUGCUGCAGCCAAUACUUCACUCAAUGAAAGUGAAAUAUAGUUUUUAUUCUACAGUGAAUGAUGGCACUAGAACUAAAUGUUUUAACUAUUGAGUAUGUAGAUCAUGCUCCUUCUGUGUGCUUAAUUUUAUGUUCUGAUAUUUUUCUAGAUCCUUUUUUCUGUAACAAAAUUCUCCAAGAGCAUUGUUUUUAUCUGAUGUUAAGAGAUAUUGUAAAUGGUUUCGCAUCAAAUCUCAAAUAAAGAACUGGCCUGAAACUGUUGAAAGAGAUUUUACUCUCUUACAGAGCUUAUAUUGACAUUUUAUAGAUUGCCAGAAAUUCAGAAACAGAACCCUCCCUAUUCUUUCCCAGGGGAAGCAAAUCCUCUCUUUUUUUUUUUUUCUGAAAAGCAAAAAUAGGAUUUUCUUAAAUAGGAAAACUCUGUCUAAGAAGCAGAGUUUGGCACUAAUUUCUACAUGUACAGAUUUAUCAUAGGCACCAUAAGGCCUGGAUUGUCUUGUAUGAUAUACCCUUGACCUAUUCUACAGGACAAUCGAGGGUUAAUAGAUUGAACAAACUAAUUUCAUGAGAAAUUUGGCUUAAAUUUCUUGUUUACUUGUAUAAUACCUUCAUACUUGAUAAAAGAAAAAACUGGAGUGAAAAAACUAGCAAUAUUUACCAUACAUUCAAGUCUGGACAAUGAAAGAAAGUGUUCUUCAAUCGUUCCCCGAGUCUGAAAAAUGUUUUCCUUUCUUCUAAAAAAGUGGUCUUUUUCUCCGACAUGGUAUAGACGACGAUCUUAGAUGAGAUUUGGGUAAACGUACUGAAUUUUUUAAUAAUGUUUAAACGUGAAAAAAAAAAUAUCGCUAAAUACCUAUUGAAUAUUUCAAAAUUAAAAUAAAAUUAUUAUAUUAUAAUUAAUUAAUUAUAAUUUAAAAUUAUAUAAAAUUCCUCAAAAUAUUAUGUGAAUUCACGUUUAUUAGGGAUGAUCGUGAUUAGACAAUUGUAAAAGUAAUUGUAUUAUAAUUAAUAAUUAAAAUUAAAAAUUAUGUAAGAUUAUAUGAAUUUAUAUUUAUAAAUGAUGAUUUGAUUGAAUGAUUGUAAGAUGAUAAUAUAAAAAAUUAUAGGUGAAACGCUUCCAUUGAAAGAUUCCCAGGCUUUGUCUGGACGAAAGUAAUGACAAACCAAAUUGUGGCAGUUAGAGAGACAACGCUGCGGCAAGCAUGGACAAAAGUUGUAGGUCAUUUAAUUCUGACAUAUCUCUAUUUGGUUUUGCAUCUUUGGCUAAGCUAUUAUCAAUCUUGUCACGGGCGUGAAGUAGACUUGUGAUCUCAGAUAACGCCAAAAGUGGCGGCCAUUAUCUGCCCUUUCAUCUUCAACAAAUAAUUCAAAACCUGAUAUCUCCAUAAAACUUGACAGAAGAAAAAUCACAAUUUCUUGCUAGGAUCAGCAGGUGAAUUCCAUGGUAAACUUAUCAGUUCUUCUUGCAGGCUCUCUAUGCCUGUGUCUGGUUGUAGCUCUAGUCAAAGUCCUUUAUAAAUUUUGGUGGACACAACUUCGGAUUCAGCAUCUAAUGAGUUUGCAAGGAAUCAAAGGACCCCCUUACAAGUUCAUCCAGGGAAACAGCAAGGAGACUAUAAAAAUGAAACAGGAAGCAUUACGCAAGCCCAUGGCUGCUUUAUCACAUGAUAUAUUGCCCAGAGUCCAACCCCAAAUUCAUUCACGGAUCAACUUAUAUGGUAAGUGUUAAAAUUUCAUUUUUCCACCAUGAUUUUCAUUUUCUUUUUUUUUUUUUUUUUACUUCUGACCGUUUUAUUAAAAUCAAUUUAUUCUUCUUUUACUUUGGUGGGAUUAGGGAAAAAUUAUCUUAAUUGGCUAGGGACUAAAGCUCAACUGGUCAUCACAGAACCUGAGCUUAUCAAAGAGAUGUUGAAAAAUAAUGAAAGAGAUUUUCCAAAAAGGACAAGUAGAGAAAGGAAGAAGAAUGAAGACGAUUUCGCUCGUAAGAUAUUCGGAGAUGGACUUGUGAUAUCCGAAGGUCAGAAAUGGGCAAGGCAAAGGAAGUUGGCCAAUCAUGCUUUCCAUGGGGACAGCUUAAAAGUAAACUUCUAAUCAUAUUCUAUAAAAUAAAUUAUUUUUGUUAUAGAUGUGUUGAUUGAAGCUUCAAAUUCUGUCAAUUAUAGUUACUUAUACGGUGGUGUGGAUGAUGGUUUUGGCAGAGUAUGACUCCUGCAAUGAUCGCGAGUGUUGAGAUGAUGAUGGAAAGGUGGAAACAACAUGAAGGCAAAGAAAUUGAGGUGUUUGAAGAAUUUAGGUUGUUGACUUCAGAAGUGAUAUCAAGGACAGCUUUUGGUAGCAGUUACUUAGAUGGGAAAAAGAUUUUUGACAUGUUGAUGAGGUUGUCUGUCUUGACGAACAGAAACAUGUUUAAAGCAAGGUUUCCUGGCAUUAGGUAAGCUCUUUAAUCUAGAUUUACUGAAAAAAUUAGAGAGUAACUAGAAGUCAUAUUCUGCAGCUUUGGCUUAAAUGUUGAAUUUUUUAUUUAUUUUUCCUUCAUAUAUAUAUGGUAGAAAUUUGUUUGUUUUUGCAGUAAGUUCUGGAGAACUGCUGAUGUAAUUGAAUCAGACAAACUUGUAAAAGGAAUACACAAUUCUGUGAUGGAGAUAGUUAAGAAGAGAGAAGAGAAAGUUGCUAGUGGAGAAGCCAACAGCUUUGGCACUGAUUUUCUUGGAUUGCUUUUAAAUGUUUACCAUGAUGCAGACCAAAAGAACAGGCUUUCUGUACAAGAUUUGGUAGAUGAAUGCAAGACAUUUUACUUCGGUGGACAAGAAACAACUAAUUCUAUACUUGCAUGGACUGUCUUUCUUUUAGCAAUCCAUCCAGAUUGGCAAGAGAAAGCACGGAGAGAGGUGAUCGAGGUCUUUGGCAACCAAAAUCCGCAUUCUGAAGGCAUUGGCAGACUAAAGAUUGUAAGCAAAUCUAAUCCUUUUGCCUGCACACAUUACUGAACAUUUAGUAGAUUGAAUAUUAAAUUCAGAAUAGAUUGAAUAUGUUUAUUCCUUUUCCACAGUUGACUAUGAUCAUUAAUGAAACUCUAAGAUUAUAUCCUCCAUUAAACAACCUGGCAAGAAGAGUUGAACAUGAAAUUCAAUUGGGAAAGCUCAUACUGCCAGCUGAUUUGCAAGUGAUUGUCCCAAUUCUGGCACUUCACCAUGAUCCUCAGUUAUGGGGAGAUGAUGUAAAUCUUUUCAAACCUGAGAGAUUCGCAGAAGGGAUUGCCAAUGCCACCAAAUAUAAUGCUGCUGCAUUUAUGCCCUUUGGGUUUGGACCUCGAUCUUGCGUGGGUAUGAGCUUUGCAAUGACAGAAACAAAGACUGCUCUUUCAAUGAUUCUACAACGCUACACUAUUUCCCUUUCCCCAACCUACUGCCACGCACCAUUUACCCUUCUUAUGCUUCAGCCACAACAUGGAAUUCAGUUAAUGCUUCAUUCUCUAUAGAAUGAAGCCUAGAAUUGUUAAUCG